rnacentral:rRNA from 1 species
GAUGAACGCUAGCGGCAGGCCUAAUACAUGCAAGUCGAACGGUGUAGCAAUACAUAGUGGCGCACGGGUGUGUAACACGUAUGCAACCCACCUUACGUUGGGGGAUAGCCUUUCGAAAGGGAGAUUAAUACCGCAUAAGACAGUAGCUGGGCAUCCAGCAGCUGUUAAAGAUUUAUCGAUGUAAGCUGGGCAUGCGUCCAAUUAGCUAGUUGGUGAGGUAACGGCUCACCAAGGCAAUGAUUGGUAGGGGAACUGAGAGGUCAAUCCCCCACACUGGCACUGAGAUACGGGCCAGACUCCUACGGGAGGCAGCAGUAGGGAAUAUUGGGCAAUGGACGCAAGUCUGACCCAGCCAUGCCGCGUGCAGGAUGAAGGCGUUAUGCGUUGUAAACUGCUUUUAUACAGGAAGAAACGACUCUUGCGAGAGGCAUUGACGGUACUGUAUGAAUAAGCACCGGCUAACUCCGUGCCAGCAGCCGCCGUAAGAC